GCAAAUACUUUUAAACCUUUUGUUAAUUUUACGGAUUUUGCAGGCAAUGCUUUAGUUAUAUAGUUAUUUGAUGUUUGUAAAUUUUAAAACACUUUAAAUAGGAAUAAAUAGGAAAUCUUUGGAAUUAGGAAUUAUGGUUUCCAUAAGGUUUGGAAACCAUAUUUAAAUUCGUUAACAGUUAGAAAGGAUCUAACUGUUAACUUAAAAUAGGUACUGUUUCAGGAAGGACCUGGCAGUUACCUUGAUUUUAUGGAAUGCUGUCUAAGUAAGGACUUGACAGUACUUCUUUAAACAUUUUUUUUGUAUUUAUAUCAGGAAGGACCUGAUAGUUAUUUAACAUAUUUUGAACUGAUAAGGAAUCAGUUUCCUAAACUUAUUUAUCUAAAUCAGAAAAGGUUUCUGAUUAACUUCUGCACAUAUUAUUAAACUUUAUAUUUAUAGAAAUUGUAGUUAAAUAAGUAAUUUAUAUAGCAAGACUCAACCAUGUAAAGGUUCACGUAUAUAUCAGUACAAAUUCUUAAAUAGUACUACCAACAGUACUAUAUGAGACCAGAGAUCACAACCUCCUAUUUUUCCAUGUAUUUCAACACAUUUAAUAAUACCUUAUAAAAUUGAUAAAUUGUCAAAAGAUUAGAGUUCUUCAUUUUUAUUGAGAGCUCUGAGACUGGUUUAGAGGUGCUAGAAAUUUUAUUAUGUAAUUACUGUAUACUUAUAUUGUAUUUUCAAAUACAUAUUUGAUGUAAACUUCAUGAC
rnacentral:lncRNA from 1 species